CGUGGGGAACCUGCCCCAUAGUCUGGGAUACCACUUGGAAACAGGUGCUAAUACCGGAUAAGAAAGCGGAUCGCAUGAUCAGCUUUUAAAAGGCGGCGUAAGCUGUCGCUAUGGGAUGGCCCCGCGGUGCAUUAGCUAGUUGGUAAGGUAAAGGCUUACCAAGGCGAUGAUGCAUAGCCGAGUUGAGAGACUGAUCGGCCACAUUGGGACUGAGACACGGCCCAAACUCCUACGGGAGGCAGCAGCG
rnacentral:rRNA from 1 species